AUAUACAUUUACAGAAUUAUAGAUUCAUUCAAGUGACAAUAAUUUGAGUGGGCGACAAAGUUGACAAGUUAUUACACCAACUUUGAUCCUUCUUUGAAUCUUCCCUAUUUCACUAUGCCAUGACUGCUUUCUUGAUCCCGUUUCUCCGAUCCCUUAGUCCCUAUAGUGCUCGUCUCUCUUUUCCUUCACAACCGCAAGCCCGGCCCUCAAGGCUUCACCACCAUCACGACACCGCAAACUUUACCUGUAUUUUCAAGGAAGCGCACGCAGCAAGCGAUAUCAUAGAAAAGGGAGAUCGAUCUAGCUAGCUGAAAGACCUUAAUUCAGAUCACUUGCUACUAGAAGUGUAGUAACAAAAGGAAUGGGGUAUCUCUCAGCAUGACGAACGGGAUCAUAUCUUGAUGGAAAGUAGUCCACCUGAGAAACAGCAUAAAGUAAGACAUGGGAGCAAAA